rnacentral:lncRNA from 1 species
UUCAUAGUCAUUAAUUUAUUUCAUUCUAGGUCCAACAUGGCUCACAAUAUUGAAAUAAAUAGAUGUGAGUCCAAUUAGAGCCCAAUUAGGGUUCUAAGCCCAUGAUAGUCCAAUUGGAAGCUUAUUGGUCCACUUGGAUCCAAUAAGGAAGUUCUAGUCCAAAAUAGACUUAACAAGAACUUCUAGGGUUUUCCAAUUGUUUGAUGACUACUUGUAGUACUUGUAUAAUGUAUUUGAUUGAAGUUUUUGAUUCACAUUAACUUGAAUGUUUAGAUUACAUGACACAAAAUUUCCAGUUGUGACAUAAUCCCCCCGUUAGAGGGAAUUUCGUCCCGAAAUUCUGUUUGAAAGCUAGAUUUGAGAAUGCUAGAAUAGGUGAGGGUACUUCUGCUUCAUUUGAUCUUCGCGUUCCCACGUGAAUUCUGGCCCACGCUUUGCGUUCCACCGUACCUUCACGAUCGGGAUGCGGCUCUGCUUAGUACGCUUCACCUCCCUGUCCAUGAUUUCGAUUGGUUCUUCGACGAACAGGAGAUUCUCAUUGAUUUCGAUUUCGUCAAGAGGAAUGACAAGGGUUUCAUCUGAUAGGCACUUUUUCAGAUUAGAGACAUGAAACACGGGGUGUACACCGUUUAGCUCCGCGGGUAGUUGUAGUCUGUAUGCUACUGGACCUAUUCGGGCGACGAUUUCGAAAGGUCCAAUGUAUCGCGGGUUCAGCUUUCCCCGUUUUCCGAAACGUAUAACCCCUUUCCAGGGUGAGACCUUCAACAAUACUCGAUCACCGACCUGGAAUUCUAAGGGCUUUCGCCGUUUAUCAGCGUAGCUCUUUUGCCGGUCACGCGAUGCUUGUAAUCGAGCUUUGAUCUGGACAAUCUUUUCUGUGGUCUCGCGAAUGAUUUCCGGUCCCGUUAAUGCCCUGUUUGACGUAUGUGUUCUUGCUAGCUGGGUGUCACCUACUUCAGCCCAACAUAACGGUGAUCUACAUUUACGCCCGUACAGUGCUUCGAAAGGGGCCACCUUGAUGCUCGAAUGAUAACUAUUGUUAUAUGAGAACUCGAUCAACGGUAGGUGGGUAUCCCAAGACUUUCCAAAGUCUAUCACACAUGCACGAAGCAUGUCUUCAAGCGUCUGAAUGGUUCGUUCGCUUUGACCGUCCGUUUGUGGGUGAUACGCGGUGCUCAUAUCAAGAUGAGUUCCCAUGGCCUUGUGGAGCGACUGCCAAAAGCGUGACGUGAAUCUACUGUCCCUAUCCGAGAUGAUAGAUUUUGGCACUCCAUGAAGUCUUACAAUCUCUCGUAGGUACAAACGCGUCAGCCUCUCCAUCUUGUAGGACUCUUUGAUUGGCAGGAAAUGGGCAGAUUUCGUCAGUCGGUCGAUUAUUACCCAUAUGGUGUCCAAUCCGUCCGACGUCUUGGGCAGUUUGGUCACGAAGUCCAUAGAAAUCCCUUCCCAUUUCCACUCAGGGAUUGUCGGUUGCUGUAACAAUCCGGAAGGUUUCUGGUACUCCACUUUUACUUUGGCGCACGUAAGGCACUUACCAACAUAGGUUGCGAUUUCCGCCUUCAUGGUAGGCCACCAGUAGUGUUGCUUGUACCAACAUAGGUUGCGAUUUCCGCCUUCAUGUUAGGCCACCAGUAGUGUUGCUUGAUGUCCAAAUACAUCUUGUCCGAAGCAGGAUGAAUGGAGUAUCGUGUCUUGUGGGCUUCCUUCAUAACGGUCUCCCUAAAUCCUCCGAUUUUUGGAACCCAAAUACGGUUCAUGAAGUAGUAUACCCCAUUCUCUUUGACUUCCAGGUUCUUCUCC